CAGUCGCCGCGGGAAUACGUAGGGCGCAAGCGUUGUCCGGAAUUAUUGGGCGUAAAGAGCUCGUAGGCGGUCUGUCGCGUCUGGUGUGAAAUCCCGAGGCUCAACCUCGGGCUUGCAUCGGGUACGGGCAGACUAGAGUGCGGUAGGGGAGACUGGAAUUCCUGGUGUAGCGGUGGAAUGCGCAGAUAUCAGGAGGAACACCGAUGGCGAAGGCAGGUCUCUGGGCCGCAACUGACGCUGAGGAGCGAAAGCAUGGGGAGCGAACAGGAUUAGAUACCCCUGUAGUCCCUGUCUCUUAUAA
rnacentral:rRNA from 1 species